rnacentral:rRNA from 1 species
UNAGAGGAAGUAAAAGUCGUAACAAGGUUUCCGUAGGUGAACCUGCGGAAGGAUCAUUAUUGAAUGAACAUAGAGUCGGUUGUAGCUGGCCCCUUUUAACCGGGGGGCAUGUGCACGCCUUCUCUUUUCAUCCAUACACACACCUGUGAACUUGUGAGACGGAUUUCGACCCUCUCCGGGGGGGAAAGGUCCGUCUGCUAUACAUAAACUCCUGAAUAAUAAAUUAGAAUGUAAUCGAUGUAACGCAUCUUUAAACUAAGUUUCAACAACGGAUCUCUUGGCUCUCGCAUCGAUGAAGAACGCAGCGAAAUGCGAUAAGUAAUGUGAAUUGCAGAAUUCAGUGAAUCAUCGAAUCUUUGAACGCACCUUGCGCUCCUUGGUAUUCCUCGGAGCAUGCCUGUUUGAGUAUCAUGAAAUCUUCAAAAUAAAUCUUUUGUUCACUCGAUUGAUUUUAUUUUGGACUUGGAGGCUUGCAGAUUCACGUCUGCUCCUCUUAAAUUUAUUAGCUGGAUCUCGGUGAGCUCGGUUCCACUCGGCGUGAUAAGUAUCACUCGCUGAGGACACUGUAAAAGGUGGCCGGGAUUGCGGAUGAACCGCUUCUAAUAGUCCAUUGACUUGGACAAUAAAUACUUUAUGAUCUGAUCUCAAAUCAGGUAGGACUACCCGCUGAACUUAAGCAUAUCAAUAAGCGGAGGAAAAGAAACUAA